UACAGAGGGGGCAAGCGUUAUUCGGAAUUACUGGGCGUAAAGCGCGUGUAGGCAGCUCGGCAAGUCGGGUGUGAAAGCCCUGGGCUCAACCUAGGAAGUGCACUCGAAACUUCCGAGCUGGAGUGACUGGAGAGGAAGGCGGAAUUCUCGGUGUAGAGGUGAAAUUCGUAGAUAUCGAGAGGAACACCGGUGGCGAAGGCGGCCUUCUGGACAGUCACUGACGCUGAGACGCGAAAGCGUGGGGAGCAACGGG
rnacentral:rRNA from 1 species